UUGGUUCGUAGGUAGGCGGCCGGACCAAUCCGGGCCGCAAGAAGGACCGGCCCGGCCUCGGGGCCUGCCCUCGCCAAUGGGCGUGCCCUCUUGGCCGGCGGGAGGAGGAGCGGAAAUUUGAGCCGGGAGCUGGGCACGCUGACGCAGGACGUCCGAGGGCGGCGGGCCGGGGCGUGGCUGCGCGGGGGCCGCUCUCCACCCCCCACCCCCAAGCAGCGGGGAGCCCGCGGGGGCAUUUUCCUGCCAGGGCUUCUGUGUGGUGGCGGCCUGGAACCCCGGCGUGAAAGUGAGCCCUCGGCAGGGCGUCCCUUUGUCCCUCCAUCCCUGCCUGUGAGGGGCACCAGGGAUGGGUGCGCCUCGGCGAGGCUUGCCUCCGCUUUUCUUCCAGAGCGACGUUUGCACGGCGGGGAGGCGUGUCCGCUCAGGCUGGGCGCGAGGCAGCAGGCCUGGCCUGGGGGCGGAAAAACUCUUCGUGCACCCUGCCGCAAGAGGGUUCCUGGGUGGCCGCGUCUCGAGACCCAUGCCGUUCGCCCCCUCCGUGCUCUUUCUCUCCUGAGCUCCGGGCAAUGGUGCGGCCAGGCUGGGAGCGAGGUCACGGGUGGGGCGGGGCCUCUACCGCUGGAAGGAUCGGCUGCUCCCCAAACUGGUCCCGGGCGGCUAGGGACCCGAAGGGGACCGCGCUGCCGGUGAGCCUAGGUCAGCCGAAGCCGAACUGGCCCCAGGCUGGUGGUUAAGCUGACAACGUGGGUGACGUGCCCACCGCGUCCUGUGCUUGCAGGAGUGAACUACGUGCUGGUGCAGCCGGCGCCGCUGUUCAGGGAACGCGGGGCCCCUUCCUCCUCCCCGCCCCAGGCCUGCAGCCAACUUCUCUAGGCUGCCCCUCUCCCACCGCAGUGGAGAAGGCUUCAAACGCCACCAGCUGCGAGGACCCCGCCCACCACGCCCCACCCACUGUCUGGGCCUCCCGAAGGAAAUACUCUACUGCGCCGGGUCCGCGCGCACUGCUUGCCCUGCCCCUGCCAACUUGCCCUUGACUUUCACAGUCGCCCCCACUCUCCAACCCUCGGCCCCGCCGUUCUUAUACAGGCCUAGGCCAUCACUGGAGAAGUCAGUACAUAACUUCCUACUGCCGCAGAAUGGGGCGCAGCCACCGCUGCUCCGGACCCUUCAGGCAGCCCCUGAACCACAAGACCCCCCCGCGCCCCCAACCACAACACCGAGGCCUGGGAUUGCAGUCCCUGGGUGGUUUGCCUUAAAGGACGUUCGCACGUGUCAGCUGACAGCAAGGGAAGCCUGCUGGAUGAAGGCAGCCCAGGCACUCAAACCCUGUGGACCUGAGAAGAGUGGUGGGUGGGGCAAGGUCAUCCUGCGCACAAAUUAAGACCAGCCAUUUCUCACCAAAUUAAUUUGGGGCCUGGAUAGAAAAAACUUCUUUCCAGGUAAUGAAGAAAGAACUGAGACAGACCAUUCUCUGUUUCAUGUUAUGGUGAACCGUAAAGUGGCCUGGACGACUGAGCACCCUGGGUGUCUGUAACUGAAACCCUACACUUCCCUCUCACUGAUAAUUUGGUGCGCCCUGGGAAGACUAUGGGACAGAGGGGGGGGGAGGGGAGGGGGGGAAGGAGGGGUAUGCUGGGAUGGGCUCUGGAAAGGCAUCUGGGUCAAGUCCCUCUAAGAGGGGCUCUUCUUGGCAGGAAGUAAUCAUUUUGCCAGGCAGAUUGUGUUGAUGACAUUUAAGAGAUUUGUGUUCUGACCAAAUAAUGAUUCAGAAUGUUCCUCUAAUCCCACCACAUGUCACAAUCAGUCACUUCGUUAAGGAUGGAGCUGGCCCUACACCGACUUGCCAGCACCCAUCCCCUCUCAGCCAGGGGAAUUCUGCCCAGUUUUUGAGGUACCACAUCUCUCUGGUUUCUCCAUGACCCCUGCUGGUACAUCCCAGCCUGCACACACUCUGGCGGUCCUCCCACAAGUAUGCACUGUUCUAGACAUUGGGCCACAGCCAUGGACAAGACCCCUGCCCUGGGCGAGGUGAAGCCAGCCUGGGUCAGAGGUCUUCUGCACUGACACACAGCCCACCCCCAUCCACAGCCUAAAGCAUUCCCUAGGGCUCUCCAGGAGUGCUGAGUGCAGCCUCCCUAAGGGUUUCCCCUGUGCCCUGUGGCAUUCUGGAUGCAAAACUCAGGGCUUUGGCUGGCUUCUCAGGCAUUUGAUCCUUGUUCACCGAAAGCCUCAGGGCCUGCAGCCUUUACCAUGUAGAAAAUCUUCCAGUAUCCAGAGAUACAUUUCUUUUCCUCAGAGCUAGGAGUCCAUGUUUCUCUUGCUAAAUAGGAUUUUGUCAGACAUAGCUCAUGUAUAGACGAAGAUGGGUGGGGAUCAAGUGUCAGAAGAAAGGAACAGAAUAUUCAAAAGCAGAGUAGGGAAGAUCAGAUUAGAACAAGUAGAUGGAGACAUGUCUGGGGAGUAAAGAGGUUAAAGCCUGAAAAGGUGACUGGGGUUUCUGGUAAAGGUGGUGGACUGACUCUUACCUUCUAGAGCCCCCUGAAACAACAGCAGGUUUGUUUGUUGUAAGACAGAAAUUGGCAAGGAUGGGGAGAGGAAGGGAGGAUGUAACGACGACACAAUUUUUGAAGCUGAAAUACUUAGCAGACCAGAGUACAUGAAAUCCCAAAACGAUAGCCAGGAAAGAAAGCCAAGAACAAACUGGAAUCUCCAGAAGUUUCACGAAUGGGUGGCAGUAGGCACCUCUGGACAUGAAUGUGAAUGAGGGGCUAAAAUAAGAAUAAGGCUGAAAGCCUUAUUAAGAAGAAUUGAGUUGCCCAGAUCCCCUCCCUAAUUCUGUGCGGACUACGCUGUCCUGGAAAAUUAUUAUCUAAAGAAGGUAAAAGGGAGCAUCUUGGUUGGGAGACACCAGGCACAACUGACAGUUUAGGAACAGGGAGAUUAAAUGAGCACAUAGAUACUGGAUACUGAGACCAACCUCUGUCCCCCUUUGGGAUUGCAGAUUACAGGAGCCAGGAGACAAAGGGUCUUUCUGGGGCAUCAGAUCAGGCCAAGGGGAACACCUAAACUUCCUGACAUCUGUGGUUGUCCAACUAAGCCAGAUCACCCAAAGGAGAGGCCACUGUUAAUAAGCCCCACACAUGUGUACAGAGUUUCUAAUCAGUCUUUUACAGACCACCAAAGCUGACCUGGCAUCUCAGGAAAGCCUUGUGUCAUAAAAUCUAAAGCCCCAGUGGAUUUUUUUUUAAACAACUUGGAAGAAACAGAGACUAGCAGAGAGAAGUACACGUCAACAUAAGUACCAAUAACGUCAUCAGAGAAAUUAAGAUAUUGCAACCCAUGAAGGCAGGACACAUAUAAAGAAACAUUCAGAGAACAAACAAGCAAAAACAGUUCUUGGAAAUUGAAAAUAAGAUAUCAGAAAGGAAAAAGAAAAAAAAAACUCUCAAGAGAGGGAAUGGAAGGCACAGGUGAGGAAAUCCCUGUAAAAGUAGAACAAAAAAUAACCCCAAAAAUUGGAAAUAGAGAAAAAAGAAGACCAUACAGAAAGUCCAUUGAUCAAAUCAUAGGAACCAGGAAAGAAUGACCAGAGAAAAAAUACAGGGAGUGGGCAGAGUCAUCAAGGAAUUAAUCCAAGAAAAGUCUCCACUACUGAAGAAUGUGUGUUGAAAGAGCCCUCAGGGAGCCCAGCACAUUGGGAAAAAAUAGCCCUACCCCAAAGCAGAUCUCUGUUCAAGUUCAGAAUAAUGGGGACAGAAAGUGUCCUGACAAUAGAAGCAGGUCACUUAGAGACUGUCAGGAGUCAGAAUGGCUGUGGGACGACUCUCCAUAACAAGUAGAAGUUAGAAGGCAAGGGGCAAAGCCUUGGGAAAUCUAAAGCAAAAUUAUCUUCACGCAGACAAAGCACAAACCAAAUGUUUUGAGAUGCACGAUAUCUCACAAAAUUUACCUUCCAUGCAUCCUGUGUCAUUGUAGGAAGCUACCAGCAAUAACGAUUCUUCCAAAAUGAAGACUUCAGCCAAUAAAGAGGGAGGCAUGCAGUCCAGGAAGCAGGCAAUCCCCACAGGAGGGAAGGAGAGGCACAGGGGGCCACUAGGCCAAGCUGGAGCAGGUCAGAAGCUCUGGGGACACCUCUUCACAAGGUUCUUUGAGCUUCUUGAUCUUUGAUGGUAGAAUGACACCCUUGUCUCUUUUCACUAGUUCUUCCAAGUUAUUCCAGGUGACAAUUUAACAAAUAUUCUACCAUUGGAUACAUGAUGGUCAACCCUUAAGCCAAUGCUACAAAUAUUAUUUUUUGUUGCAGCAGCACCCCAUGUUUGGUUAACCUUCUCUAUCAGUCAGGAGCAGCUAAGUUAUGCUAUAGUAACAAAUGAUGCCAAAAGUUCCAUCACUUGAAAUACCAAAAGGUUAGUUUUCAAUAUAUCAAAGGUUGGCUGGGGAACUACUCUGGUGGGUGAUCACCCUCAACCCAGCAUCCAGAUCAGUGGGGCAGCCAUUCUCUGGAACACUGACAGUCCCUUCUGUUCAUAACAGUCAUAAGGACUGUGCUACCCACAGGGAGCCAGGUGCAGACCCAUCAUGUCCCCAGAAGGCAAGGAGCUGAGCUAUUCAGUGAAGCAUUAACAGUUUCCACAAAACCUGUGACUUCUACAAAAUGUGACUUCUGAGGCUAUUGAGAAAACUGGCAAAGAGUUUGGGAUUGACUUAAUGGUAAGUAGAUAGAAAAUUAAAUGAACAGAAAAGAAGACAAGCCAGAGCUCCAAAGAAAACAAAAGGAAAGUCCAUUGUAGUUGACCAUUUGGCUCAGUUACAGGGGGCAUUUUCAUAAUAAGAGUAACAAACAUGGA